AUGGACUAUGGAUGGAUGGAUGGACAAACACCUCGCUAGCUAGACUGCCAUGUGGCAUCCAUCCACCUGUCCCUCCAUCUCUUCAUCUGUCUUUCCAUCCAUCAUUCAUCACUCUAUUAUCCAUCUCUGUAUCCAUCUAUAAUAUUUAUCCAUCCAUCCAGAAAUGGCUCGCAACCAUUUUUAAAUUUGUGUAACAAGUCUUGCGGUCAAUCUGUCUGUCACCUGUCAAUUGAUUAUCCAUCAUCAUCUUUCCAUCCAUCCAUCAGGCAUGCAUGUUUUUGAAUGUGGGAGCACCUGGAGAAAAUCUAUGCGAGCAACGGGAGAAAACAGCAAGCCCCACACAAUCAGCAUGCCGGAGCACAGAUUCGAACCCAGAACCUCAGGACGCUGGGGCACACGUGUGGGGCCACGAGGCACCCUGCUUGUAACCAAAAGCGCAAACAAAUGCUGGAGGGAUGGAUCAUACAGCUCAUUAGUGGCAUCUGUGCAAGUGUGCAUGUGUUGCAAGGCCAAACCCAGUCCCGACUGUUCCUGUGGGCUGCAGCCGUGUGAGGGAAAAAAAAAAAGAAAAACGGCUCCAGUGAAUCACUG